rnacentral:rRNA from 1 species
GACGAACUGCGCGAACGUUAUUCGGAAUCACUGGGCUUAAAGGGUGCGUAGGCGGCCCGGCAGGUGGGGUGUGAAAUCCCUCGGCUCAACCGAGGAAUUGCGCUUCAAACCGCCGGGCUUGAGGAAGAUAGAGGUGAGCGGAACUCACGGUGGAGCGGUGAAAUGCGUUGAUAUCGUGAGGAACACCGGUGGCGAAGGCGGCUCACUGGGUCUUUUCUGACGCUGAGGCACGAAAGCCAGGGGAGCGAACGGG